AGUGAACGCUGGCGGCGUGCUUAACACAUGCAAGUCGAGCGGUAGCACAGGGAGCUUGCUCCUGGGUGACGAGCGGCGGACGGGUGAGUAAUGUCUGGGAAACUGCCUGAUGGAGGGGGAUAACUACUGGAAACGGUAGCUAAUACCGCAUAACGUCGCAAGACCAAAGAGGGGGACCUUCGGGCCUCUUGCCAUCAGAUGUGCCCAGAUGGGAUUAGCUAGUAGGUGGGGUAACGGCUCACCUAGGCGACGAUCCCUAGCUGGUCUGAGAGGAUGACCAGCCACACUGGAACUGAGACACGGUCCAGACUCCUACGGGAGGCAGCAGUGGGGAAUAUUGCACAAUGGGCGCAAGCCUGAUGCAGCCAUGCCGCGUGUAUGAAGAAGGCCUUCGGGUUGUAAAGUACUUUCAGCGGGGAGGAAGGCGAUAAGGUUAAUAACCUUGUCGAUUGACGUUACCCGCAGAAGAAGCACCGGCUAACUCCGUGCCAGCAGCCGCAGUAA
rnacentral:rRNA from 1 species